rnacentral:rRNA from 1 species
CAUUACUGAGUUUACGCUCUACAACCCUUUGUGAACUACCUAUAACUGUUGCUUCGGCGGGUAGGGUCUCCGUGACCCUCCCGGCCUCCCGCCCCCGGGCGGGUCGGCGCCCGCCGGAGGAUAACCAAACUCUGAUUUAACGACGUUUCUUCUGAGUGGUACAAGCAAAUAAUCAAAACUUUUAACAACGGAUCUCUUGGUUCUGGCAUCGAUGAAGAACGCAGCGAAAUGCGAUAAGUAAUGUGAAUUGCAGAAUUCAGUGAAUCAUCGAAUCUUUGAACGCACAUUGCGCCCGCCAGCAUUCUGGCGGGCAUGCCUGUUCGAGCGUCAUUUCAACCCUCAAGCUCUGCUUGGUGUUGGGGCCCUACAGCCGAUGUAGGCCCUCAAAGGUAGUGGCGGACCCUCCCGGAGCCUCCUUUGCGUAGUAACUUUACGUCUCGCACUGGGAUCCGGAGGGACUCUUGCCGUAAAACCCCCAAUUUUCCAAAGGUUGAC